GUUGCUUUGAGUCUGAAAGCCCAGAGAAAGAAGAAUUAGGAGUGGAUGUCUGAAUGUUCACAGGUUCAUUUUCUCGAUAUAAGAAGAUGGAAGAGCCAAUUGCUUGGUUGGGAUGUGUCUGAAUGCUUUGGUGAUUACCAGCUUAGCUAGAAAUUCAAGAAGAGCAGUCUUAAGGAGUCUUAAACUCAGGUAAAGACAGCUGUGAACCAGAAGAGAAAUACCUUCAAGAUGGGGAGAAAUCCUCAAAACACAAAAGCCAAACUUUGGAAGUUAUAAAUUAAGUUAGGGUAACACCACAGAGGAGCAGAAUAGUGGAGAUGGCACGACGACCACUGUGUGUAUUGGGUUUAGGCCCACUGACUCAUGGUCGCUUUGGCUAGCAGUGUAGAGAAGCCACAACAACCUUUCUCACUCACAAUAAAAUGCCCCAGUUGAUGGAAUGCUGUAUUUUGAAGAACAGCAUAUAUGAAAAUCAUUCCUGAAGGAACUCAUUCGAAGCCCAUGGCCUUUUUCACCCCCCACCAACCAGCAUGGAACCCAGGCAGUUGGUCAGAUGGAGGGAAAGGAAUUGCAAGCUGCAUGUUGUGGCAGCCCACAAACCGCUGCCAAUCAGUCAGCAUUGCCUGCCCUCACCUCACCCAAGCUGAUUGAUUAGGUGUACUUUCAGUCUAAACUACUAACUCAUGGUGCAACUGGCCAAUAUUGACUAGCUGCAAGCCAGAUAUUACAGCUAUUUAAAACUUCCUGUUUCAUGACAGUGUUCUCAGGAGCUUUAGAUGCUCUGCUAGCAGGAAAUGUUUGCAGAAGAUGCAUUUUCAGUUCAGAAGGCUUUCAUGUGCUUCAUAAGAUAUUGCCUACAACCCAUAUGAAGUCUUUGAAAAUUGUGUUUGCAUCACAAGAAAUCUGUAUGU